GAUCUGAAACAGUACAAGUUCCACGAUGCUCAAGCUUUAGUUUCAGUGAUCUUCCCAGAACUUUAGUUGCCACUUUUAGAAUCUGCUUAAAAGUUUGACAGUGGAAUAGCUUGCUGCCCUGGAGAAACCCAUCCUUGAUCCUCCCAUCCUCUGCCUCCAGCAGUGUGUUCC